AUGGCGACUCAGUGGUUCUCCAAUAUGGUAAUUUGCUGCUCGUCUUCUGAUAGCGUCGGGUGUAAUGGUGUGGGGCGAGCUGGGUGGCUGACUGGUUGUUCCUGGUUUGGUGGCGUGCAGGUGAUGGACGAGCCGAGUUUCUUCCACCAGUGGCAGUCGGACGCGACGCUGGAGCAGUACACGGAGCAGCAGAUCGCCGUGGCCUUCGGGCAGGGGGAGAUGGAGGCGGCGGCGCUGAUGCAGCAGCAGCAUCAGUACGCCGCGGCGGCGGCGGGCGAGCACCGGCCGCGCAAGGCGGCCAAGGUCAACACCAGCUGGGACUCGUGCGUCACGGAGCAGGGCUCCCCCGCCGACUCCUCCUCCCCGACCAUCCUCUCCUUCGGCGGCCACGCCGACGCGUUCGCCAAGGCGCCGCAGGCCCCCAGCGCCGCCGCCGCCUACUACGGCGCGGCCUCCGCGGCGGCGCCCGUGAAGCCCAAGCAGGAGGUUGACGCGGGGGCCGUGGCGUCGUUCCAGCAGGUCAAGCGGAGCUACGACGCCAUGGUCGCCGAGCCCGCCAGGGCGCCCUCCCGGCCGGCCGCCCAGAACCAGGACCACAUCAUGGCCGAGAGGAAGCGCCGGGAGAAGCUCAGCGAGCGCUUCAUCGCGCUCUCCAAGAUCGUGCCGGGCCUCAAGAAGAUGGACAAGGCGUCGGUGCUGGGCGACGCGAUCAAGUACGUCAAGACGCUGCAGGAGCAGGUGAAGGGCAUGGAGGAGGUGGCCCGGCGGCGGCCGGUGGAGUCGGCGGUGCUGGUCAAGAAGUCGCAGCUCGCCGCCGACGAGGACGACGGGUCGUCCUGCGACGAGAACUUCGAGGGCGCCGACGCCGGGCUGCCGGAGAUCGAGGCCCGGAUGUCGGACCGCACGGUGCUCGUCAAGAUCCACUGCGAGAACCGCAGGGGCGUCCUCGUCGCCGCGCUCUCCGAGCUCGAGAGCAUCGACCUCGCCAUCAUGAACACCAAUGUGCUCCCCUUCACCACCUCCUCCAUCGACAUCACCAUCAUGGCCACGGCCGGCGAAGACUUCUCGUUGUCUGUCAAGGACAUCGUCAGGAAGCUACAUCAAGCGUUCAAGUCGUCGCCAUGA
rnacentral:rRNA from 1 species